CGGACGGGUGAGUAACGCGUGGGGAACCUGCCCUGUACCGGGGGAUAGCAGCCGGAAACGGCUGAUAAUACCGCAUAAGCGCACGAAUGUCGCAUGACAUGGUGUGAAAAACUCCGGUGGUAUAGGAUGGACCCGCGUCUGAUUAGCCAGUUGGUGGGGUAAAAGCCUACCAAAGCGAAGAUCAGUAGCCGAGUUGAGGGACUGACCGGCCACAUUGGGACUGAGACACGGCCCAGACUCCUACGGGAGGCAGCAGCU
rnacentral:rRNA from 1 species